rnacentral:misc_RNA from 1 species
CUAGGAUUGUGGUUCUUGCGGUUUUGAGAAUGAUCAGAGAGAAGUACACUGCAGGAGAUUCAAUCAAAGAUGAUGUGCAAAUCUUUCUAGGAGUCAAAGAAGUAGGUAUACGUGCUGUCAAACAAGAAAGUGUCGUUAAGGAAGCAAUAAUACAACUAUUGCAACAUGAUUUGGGACUUGAGGUAAUUUCAGCAGCAUCAACAAUUGGAAAUGGG